rnacentral:lncRNA from 1 species
AUAAUAUUUUCGGAUAUAAGUCAAAAAGUUUACAAUACAUUCAGCAAGAACAAAUUAGAAGAAAACCGUGCCGUGUGUGAUGACAGAAGAGAAAUUGUUCGUACCAAUUCAGCCACAAAAACUGUUCCCGAAAGCAUUCGUCGAAAUCCCCUAAAAAUCGAUCACAUCAAUGUCAAGACUUAUUCGAGAUGUUCAUCACAUGAAAGCCUAGCGUCGGUCAACUUGCCGUCUUCUGACAACGUGGUUGAAGCAAAUAAGGGUCAACAGUUAUGUAAAAACUCGGUGCUGGAUUGUCUGAAAUCAAAAAAAUUUAUAUAUUUAGAUAAUCGGUUUGAAUCCAAUUUUGGAAUUUGCGAAACACUCCACAAUCUAGAAUAAAGGAAACCAAAUUUUCCUCAUUAUA